UACGGAGGAUGCGAGCAUUAUCCGGAUUUAUUGGGUUUAAAGGGUGCGUAGGCGGUCCGUUAAGUCAGCGGUAAAAUUGCGGGGCUCAACCCCGUCGAGCCGUUGAAACUGUCAGACUUGAGUUGGCGAGAAGUACGCGGAAUGCGCGGUGUAGCGGUGAAAUGCAUAGAUAUCGCGCAGAACUCCGAUUGCGAAGGCAGCGUACCGGCGCCACACUGACGCUGAGGCACGAAAGCGUGGGGAUCGAACAGG
rnacentral:rRNA from 1 species